AUGGAAAUUAUUUCGGGUAUUAAAGCUAUUCCAAUGGAAGUCAUCACAAGAAUGGACCCCAGUGAACUCUUCAAUCAAGUUGAACUUCUUGGUCGUGAAGCAAUGCUCACAAAAUCCGACGAUUUGAAAUCUUAUUUGAUGCAGUUACACGAUGAACUCAAAGAAAUCGUCGACAUUGAUCACAUACAAAUUCUUGGAAAAUUGCAAGCCAUCCUUUGUUUUCUAAAUUUGAAGUAUUCGGACGGUCUAACAAUUUUGGCUCAUGGAUUCUACGAUGAGAAGCACCAUACAUUUCUCCAACAGCUCUACGUCAGAAUUGAAGAAGACAAGAAUGGAAAAAACGUUAAAGAGCAAGAGUAUUGUCCCUUUCCACCGUCGAUUGACCCAAAAGGAAAAGAUGGGUUGCCGAACAGUUUAUCCAAAUUUUUUCGUGAUUAUUAUUUCAAAAGACGACUUUUGAAAAAACGCUUUGAUAUCAAGAGUGUCUCUGAGCAAACCGGAUUGCGUCAAGAUUUCAUAGAAGCAAGAUUCGAAGAGCACCGAAAAUCGAUUUCAAAACCUCGUCAUAGGAGCCUCAAAGAUAGAAGAAGCACCGACACAAAAGACAAAACUUACUGCAACAGUGACAAAAACGGCUGUAUUGAAUCAAAAUAUCCCGCUGAGCUGAAAUCAAAAGGUUCCGACGUUCAUCUACUGCUGGAAAAUAGUCAUGACUGCUUUUUCGAUGUCUGCCAAUGUUCCCGAAAAUUCAGUAGAUGGAUACACUCUUCAGCAACUCUCCACUCUGAUCGAAACUUUAAGUCAUGAGGCGAUCACCCAACAAUCGGUGUCCGCAGAAAAUGCAUUGACGUUACUCCAUUAUCGACUAUCAAAGAUUAUGGAAUUGGGACAUGUACAACUUCUUGGGAAAACGCAGGCGGUUCUUUGUU
rnacentral:misc_RNA from 1 species